AUGAUUUCUCAGCCUUUUGACUAAGAUCAAGUGUAGUAUCUGUUCUUAUCAGUUGAAAAAAGACCAAUUGGAUGAAAUUUUUAAAAAAUUUUUUAUUCAUUUAUUUAUUUGAAAUGCGGAGUAACAGGGGUUGUAGAAGACAGAGAGAAAGAGAGAGAUCUUCCAUCCACUGGCUCACUCCCCAAGUGGCCUCAAU